UACGGAGGGUGCAAGCGUUGUCCGGAUUCAUUGGGUUUAAAGGGUGCGCAGGCGGGACAUUAAGUCAGGGGUGAAAGACGGUUGCUCAACAAUCGCAGUGCCUUUGAUACUGGUGUUCUUGGGUGACGGUGAGGUAGGCGGAAUGGGUGGUGUAGCGGUGAAAUGCAUAGAUACCACCCAGAACUCCGAUUGCGAAGGCAGCCUACUGGUCGUUAACCGACGCUCAGGCACGAAAGCGUGGGGAUCAAACGGG
rnacentral:rRNA from 1 species